GGCGUCCAGAAGGGUCUGUAGAAGUCGGACGCCGGUUGUCAAACCCGAUAGGGAGUCGGUGAUGUCCCAUCCGACAGGGAGUCGGUGAUGCGGGGUCGGCUUUCAGGUGAUCAGAGGUAGUGUUGGCCUGUUGGGCCGACACGCUCGGGCCGGACAUCAUCGGUAGUUAUUGUCGGUGUCGCCCGUCGUCAGACGGAUAAAGUCGGUCGGUACAUCUCGAGGAUGGGUCGGGAUCGGGAUCC
rnacentral:lncRNA from 1 species